GCUCAGAUUGAACGCUGGCGGCAGGCCUAACACAUGCAAGUCGAGCGGUAACAGGGGUAGCUUGCUACCCGCUGACGAGCGGCGGACGGGUGAGUAACGCAUAGGAAUUUACCCGGUAGUGGGGGAUAACCUGGGGAAACCCAGGCUAAUACCGCAUACGUCCUACGGGAGAAAGGGGGCUUUGGCUCCCGCUAUCGGAUGAGCCUAUGCCGGAUUAGCUGGUUGGUGAGGUAAUGGCUCACCAAGGCGACGAUCCGUAGCUGGUCUGAGAGGAUGAUCAGCCACAUCGGGACUGAGACACGGCCCGAACUCCUACGGGAGGCAGCAGUGGGGAAUAUUGGACAAUGGGGGCAACCCUGAUCCAGCCAUGCCGCGUGUGUGAAGAAGGCCCUCGGGUUGUAAAGCACUUUCAGCGAGGAAGAACGCCUGUCGGUUAAUACCCG
rnacentral:rRNA from 1 species